GAUGAACGCUGGCGGCGUGCCUAAUACAUGCAAGUCGAGCGAACAGAUAAGGAGCUUGCUCCUUUGACGUUAGCGGCGGACGGGUGAGUAACACGUGGGUAACCUACCUAUAAGACUGGAAUAACUCCGGGAAACCGGGGCUAAUGCCGGAUAACAUUUAGAACCGCUUGGUUUUAAAGUGAAAGAUGGUUUUGUUAUCACUUAUAGAUGGACCCGCGCCGUAUUAGCUAGUUGGUAAGGUAACGGCUUACCAAGGCAACGAUACGUAGCCGACCUGAGAGGGUGAUCGGCCACACUGGAACUGAGACACGGUCCAGACUCCUACGGGAGGCAGCAGUAGGGAAUCUUCCGCAAUGGGCGAAAGCCUGACGGAGCAACGCCGCGUGAGUGAUGAAGGUCUUCGGAUCGUAAAACUCUGUUAUUAGGGAAGAACAAAUGUGUAAGUAACUGUGCACGUCUUGACGGUACCUAAUCAGAAAGCCACGGCUAACUACGUG
rnacentral:rRNA from 1 species